ensembl:snoRNA small nucleolar RNA SNORA13
UGCCUUUGUGUUACCCAAUCACUAUCUCCCACAGUGAAUGUGGUGUCAAAAAAGGCAUACAAGAACUCUUGCUGAAAAGGUUUUGGGACAUGGUUAUGUACCUUUUCCCUCCACAAUUCUGCAAGGACAGAA